ACUGCUCAGUAACACGUAGUCAACAUGCCCAGGGGACGUGGAUAACCUCGGGAAACUGAGGAUAAACCGCGAUAGGUCAUCACUUCUGGAAUGGGUAAUGACUUAAACCUAUAUGGCCCCUGGAUUGGACUGCGGCCGAUCAGGCUGUUGGUGAGGUAAUGGCCCACCAAACCUGUAACCGGUACGGGCUCUGAGAGGAGGAGCCCGGAGAUGGGCACUGAGACAAGGGCCCAGGCCCUACGGGGCGCAGCAGUCGCGAAAACUCCGCAAUGCGCGAAAGCGUGACGGGGCUACCCCGAGUGCCGUCCGCUGAGGAUGGCUUUUCCCCGGUGUAAUGAGCCGGGGGAAUAAGGAGAGGGCAAGUCUGGUGUCAGCCGCCGCGGUAAUACCAGCUCUCCGAGUGGUAGGGAUGAUUAUUGGGCUUAAAGCGUCCGUAGCCGGCUUAGCAAGUCUCCUGUUAAAUUCAGCGACCUAAUCGUUGAGCCGCGGGAGACACUACUAGGCUAGGAGGCGGGAGAGGCCGACGGUAUUCUCGGGGUAGGGGUGAAAUCCUAUAAUCCUUGGAGGACCACCAGUGGCGAAGGCGGUCGACUAGAACGUGCCUGACGGUGAGGGACGAAAGCUGGGGGAGCGAACCGGAUUAGAUACCCGGGUAGUCCCAGCUGUAAACGAUGCGGGCUAGGUGUAGGGGCAGCUACGAGCUGCUCCUGUGCCGCAGAGAAAUUGUUAAGCCCGCCGCCCGGGGAGUACGAUCGCAAGAUUGAAACUUAAAGGAAUUGGCGGGGGAGCAC
rnacentral:rRNA from 1 species